GUGGGGAAUAUUGGACAAUGGGCGCAAGCCUGAUCCAGCGAUGCCGCGUGUGUGAAGAAGGCCUUCGGGUUGUAAAGCACUUUCAGUGGGGAAGAAAGGCUUAAGGUUAAUACCCUUAAGAGUUGACGUUACCCACAGAAGAAGCACUGGCUAACUCUGUGCCAGCAGCCGCGGUAAUACAGAGAGUGCAAGCGUUAAUCGGAAUUACUGGGCGUAAAGCGCGCGUAGGUGGAUACUUCAGUCGGAUGUGAAAGCCCUGGGCUCAACCUAGGAAUUGCAUUCGAUACUGGGUAACUAGAGUAUGGUAGAGGGAAGUGGAAUUUCCGGUGUAGCGGUGAAAUGCGUAGAUAUCGGAAGGAACACCAGUGGCGAAGGCGACUUCCUGGACCAAUACUGACACUGAGGCGCGAAAGCGUGGGGAGCAAACAGG
rnacentral:rRNA from 1 species